rnacentral:misc_RNA from 1 species
GAACUGCGAUAAGUAAUGUGAAUUGCAGAAUUCAGUGAAUCAUCGAGUCUUUGAACGCACAUUGCGCCCCCUGGCAUUCCGGGGGGCAUACCUGUCCGAGCGUCAUUGCUGCCCUUCAAGCCCGGCUUGUGUGUUGGGUCGUCGUCCCCUCCGGGGGACGGGCCCGAAAGGCAGCGGCGGCACCGCGUCCGGUCCUCGAGCGUAUGGGGCUUUGUCACCCGCUCGAUAAGGACCGGCCGGGCGCCAGCCGGCGUCUCCAACCUUUUUUUCUCAGGUUGACCUCGGAUCAGGUAGGGAUACCCGCUGAACUAAAGC